UUUCUCUGUCUCUCAUUCAGGGUUUCUCUUUCAUGAGACCACAUUAUCACCCUUUCUGGGUAGUUUGGCAGUUUCGGACUCUAAGAACAAUAUUCUCUGACACAUAUCUCAUAACUGCUCUCAGUAAGACACAGUGGUUGUGUUUUGGAUCAAAGAAAACUUUGAUUAUUUGUCUAUCUACACCUUCCAAAUUGAUUAAUUAAUGCGUGCACGCUUUCCCUAGAAGUAAUUCACACCGGAGACAAAGUUUCUGAUCAGUGAAAAACCCAGGAAUGCUUUAUUCCCCGGAGUGGGGGCUCCUUCUUAAAGCAAAAAUACGUCACAGUUUAAACAUACAGUAUACAUUCACCAAUUGGUUAACAGAGAAAGGGGGCUCUUGUUUAAACCCCCCUACAGAAUGUAGUGUCAUCAUUACACACUUUUGGAUACACGAUGGGAGGGGGAGUGAGUGGUAUCUAUCAGUUCUAAACCAAUGAUCCUCCAUUUAGCUAUAUAUGGCAUAUAGCUGUUAACUGGCACAAAGGUAGUGGGGGAGGGGAGGCUAGCAGGAUGUGAGGAAUUUACAUAGUAAACAGCAGCUGACCACAUUGUAGGGGGGGAAGGGAAUAUUUACUCUAGAAGCCAGUUUUAACAUAGUGAACAGAGAAUAAAUAGACAUUAGUAAAUAGCCAUUUUAUUUUAAUUCAUCUGUCCAUAACAGU